rnacentral:snRNA from 1 species
CCUAAACUACUUUAAGGAAAAUCUCUAGCUAAAACAUUAGCAUGGCCCCUGUGCAAGGAUGACAUGCAAAUUUGUGAAGCAUUCCAUAUUUUU